AUUGAACGCUGGCGGCAGGCCUAACACAUGCAAGUCGAGCGGAGCGGCGGACGGGUGAGUAAUGCCUAGGAAUGUGCCUGGUAUUGGGGGAUAACGUCCGGAAACGGGCGCUAAUACCGCAUACUAUCAGAUGAGCCUAGGUUGGAUUAGCUAGUUGGUGGGGUAAAGGCCUACCAAGGCGACGAUCCGUAACUGGCUUGAGAGGAGGUGCAGUCACACGGGAACUGAGACACGGUCCAGACUCCGACGGGAGGAAGCAGUGGGGAAUAUUGGACAAUGGGCGAAAGCCUGAUCCAGCCAGGCCGCGUGUGUGAAGAAGGUCUUCGGAUGGUAAAGCACUUUAAGUUGGGAGGCGUUACCAACAGAAUAAGCACCGGCUAACUUCGUGCCAGCAGCCGCGGUAAUUC
rnacentral:rRNA from 1 species